rnacentral:rRNA from 1 species
GGCCACACCUGUUCCCAUGCCGAACACAGAAGUUAAGCUCUCCAGCGCCGAUGGUAGUUGGGGUUUCCCUGCGAGAGUAGGACGCUGCUAGGC